rnacentral:rRNA from 1 species
UGGGGGAUAUUGCACAAUGGGCGAAAGCCUGAUGCAGCGACGCCGCGUGGGGGAUGAGGGCCUUCGGGUUGUAAACUUCUUUUGCUCUGAACAAGGCAUGCUAAUGGGUGUGUUGAGUGUAGGGGUUGAUUAGCGCCGGCUAACUACGUGCCAGCAGCCGCGGUAAUACGUAGGGCGCGAGCGUUGUCCGGAAUUAUUGGGCGUAAAGGGCUUGUAGGUGGCUGGUUGCGUCUGUCGUGAAAGCUCAUGGCUUAACUGUGGGUUUGCGGUGGGUACGGGCUGGCUUGAGUGCAGUAGGGGAGGCUGGAAUUCCUGGUGUAGCGGUGGAAUGCGCAGAUAUCAGGAGGAAUACCGGUGGCGAAGGCGGGUCUCUGGGCUGUUACUGACACUGAGGAGCGAAAGCAUGGGGAGCGAACAGG